rnacentral:tRNA from 1 species
ACGACUGUGGCUCAAUUGACAAAGCUUCAGACUACCAAUCUGGAGGUGCGGGUUUAUAUCCUGCUGGUAGUC